rnacentral:rRNA from 1 species
AGGACGAACGCUGGCGGCGUGCUUAACACAUGCAAGUCGAGCGGAAAGGCCCUUCGGGGUACUCGAGCGGCGAACGGGUGAGUAACACGUGAGUAAUCUGCCCCUAGCUCUGGGAUAGCUCCGGGAAACCGGGAUUAAUACCAGAUACGACCACUUUAGACAUCUUCUGUGGUGGAAAGAACUUCGGCUAGGGAUGAACUCGCGGCCUAUCAGCUUGUUGGUGAGGUAACGGCUCACCAAGGCGACGACGGGUAGCCGGCCUGAGAGGGCGACCGGCCACACUGGGACUGAGACACGGCCCAGACUCCUACGGGAGGCAGCAGUGGGGAAUAUUGCGCAAUGGGCGAAAGCCUGACGCAGCGACGCCGCGUGGGGGAUGAAGGCCUUCGGUUGUAACCCCUUUCAGCAGGACGAAGCGAAAGUGACGGUACCUGCAGAAGAAGCGCCGGCUAACUACGUGCCAGCAGCCGC